GGCCUUUUGGAGAUUUAUAUAAAAGGUUGGGCCUGCCCGGUGAUCUGAAAUGGUUUAACGGCUGCGAUUGAAACCGUACUAAGGUAGCAUAGUAAUUUGCCCUUUAAUUGGGGGAGAGAAUGAAUGGUUUGACGGUAAAAAGGCUGUUUUAAAAAUAAAAAAAGAAGUUAACUUUUAAGUGAAAAGGCUUAAGUUUUUAUAAAAGACGAGAAGACCCCGUCGAGCUUAAUUAGAAUAACUUAAGUGUAGGUUAUUUAAAAUUUUAUUGGGGCAAUAGAAAAUGAAAUGAAUCAUUUUUUUUAUUAUAAGGAUCCAGUUUUGACUGAAAAAAGCAAAAGCUACCGCGGGGAUAACAGGGUAAUUUUUUCUGAGAGUUCAUAUUUAAGAAGAAGUUUGCUACCUCGAUGUUGGAUUAGAAUUUCUUUAUGCUUGC
rnacentral:rRNA from 1 species